rnacentral:rRNA from 1 species
CAAUAGCGUAUAUUAAAGUUGUUGCAGCUAAAAAGCUCGUAGUUGGAUUUCUGGUGGGAGCGAUCGGUCUGGCGCUUAGCGCGAGUACUUGCAUCGUCUCCGGCCAUCCUUGGGGAGAGUCUGUCUGGCAUUAGGUUGUCGGGCAGAGGAUCCUCAUCGUUUACUGUGAAAAAAUUAGAGUGUUCAAAGCAGGCUUAUGCCGUUGAAUAUAUUAGCAUGGAAUAAUAAGAUAGGACUUUGGUACUAUUUUGUUGGUUUGCGCACCAAAGUAAUGAUUAAUAGGGACAGUUGGGGGUAUUCGUAUUCCGUUGUCAGAGGUGAAAUUCUUGGAUUUACGGAAGACGAACUACUGCGAAAGCAUUUACCAAGGAUGUUUUCAUUAA